rnacentral:misc_RNA from 1 species
UGGGUUUGACAUCAGGGGCCCUUACGGACACUGCAUCUCUGCAGCUUUUCCCCUGAUGUCAAACCCAGGUAAGGUUCUUCGCGUUGCCUCGAAUUAAGCCACAUGCUCCGCCGCUUGUGCGGGUCCCCGUCAAUUCCUUUGAGUUUUAGCCUUGCGGCCGUACUCCCCAGGCGGGGCACUUAAUGCGUUAGCUGCGGCACGGAGAACGUGGAAGGUUCCCCACACCUAGCGCCCAACGUUUACGGCGUGGACUAC